UGGAGCUCAUGUUUGAAGCUACCUACCAUGCUGGUGAACAAUGCAAACUGAAGGACUACAUGUUUAUUGGGGGAGACAGACAUUAAAAAUAAUUCUAGAAUAAAAUGGCAAUUAAAAGUUGUAACAAGCACUAUGAAUUGAAAACACCAUAUUUGAUGACAAAUUGCAAUAUUUGUGCCUGAUUUGAGUUGGCAAAUUUCAAAUGAAGACAUCUUUGAGGAAAUACUUUUUAGUUUCAGAUUUGAAGCGUGAGUGAAGUUAGCCAAGGGUGGAUUAGGGAGAAAGUUGAGACCUUUCAGGAGAGUGAACAGAUGAUGUGAAGGUCCUUGAGGUAGAGGAGCAUUGAGUCUGAAGUUGCUCCACUCACAGUGCAAUGGUCUCAUUUGAAAUUAGGAUUGCUACCUUAUGGUCACCAGAAGCUUCAGUCAACUAUGGAAUGCCUUAUGCAAAUGAGAAAGCUGAAGAAAGGGGCCAUCGCUUUUGUGUCUGUUCCCUUUUAGCAGUGUGCUGAAAAACUUCAAGUUUCACAAAAGUUGAGAACUGGCUCUUCUGGAAACUGGAUUUUGGAAAACUAGACUGAUGCUCCCAAAAGUUCCUAAUGUAAUAAUACAGGCUUGACCUACUUUGUGAUCCCAAACCCUGGAAUUUGCUCAAGUUGAUUUCUUUAAAGGAUCACAUAUGGGUAUAUUAAGAAGGUAAACAUCUUUAUAAAAGAGGAAGCUGAAGAUACUGAGGCUCGGGGCAAGCAAAAGGCAGGACUAAGAUGGAAACUCCACUCUUUUCAACUCUAAUGACAGAUUUUUCCAUGACUCCACAAUGUUCUCUGAGGGUACCAAUGAAUUAUAUUGAGGAUUACUGCAAUGGACUACAGAUAACCCAGAACUUCUCCAAAAG